rnacentral:pre_miRNA from 1 species
UUUGCGACUUGUUUACGGAUGCGUAUAUAUGAAGUUCGUGUCUGUAACCAGGUUGCAAGU